GCCGGGCGUGGUGGCGGGCGCCUGUAGUUCCGGCUACUCGGGAGGCUGAGGCAGGAGAAUCGCUUGAACCUGGGAGGCGGAGCUUGCAGUGAGCCAAGAUCUGGCCACUGCACUCCGGCCUGGGCGACAGAGCGAGACUCUGUCUCAA
rnacentral:SRP_RNA from 1 species